CUACGGGCCGCACCAGUGGGGAAUAUUGCACAAUGGACGAAAGUCUGAUGCAGCAACGCCGCGUGGAGGAUGACACAUUUCGGUGCGUAAACUCCUUUUAUAUAGGAAGAUAAUGACGGUACUAUAUGAAUAAGCACCGGCUAACUCCGUGCCAGCAGCCGCGGUAAUACGGAGGGUGCAAGCGUUACUCGGAAUUACUGGGCGUAAAGAGCGUGUAGGCGGGUUUGUAAGUUGGAUGUGAAAUCCUAUGGCUCAACCAUAGAACUGCAUCCAAAACUGCUUACCUAGAAUAUGGGAGAGGUAGAUGGAAUUUCUGGUGUAGGGGUAAAAUCCGUAGAGAUCAGAAGGAAUACCGAUUGCGAAGGCGAUCUACUGGAACAUUAUUGACGCUGAGACGCGAAAGCGUGGGGAGCAAACAGGAUUAGAUACCCCCGUAGUC
rnacentral:rRNA from 1 species